rnacentral:rRNA from 1 species
UACAGGAGGUGGCAAGCGUUGUUCGGAAUUACUGGGCGUAAAGGGCGCGUAGGCGGCCAUCUAAGUCAGACGUGAAAUCCCCCGGCUUAACCUGGGAACUGCGUCUGAUACUGGGAGGCUUGAGUAUGGGAGAGGGAUGUAGAAUUCCAGGUGUAGCGGUGAAAUGCGUAGAUAUCUGGAGGAAUACCGGUGGCGAAGGCGGCAUCCUGGACCAUUACUGACGCUGAGGCGCGAAAGCUAGGGGAGCAACGGG